CCACACUCUGUCAGCAUCAAUGAAAAUGACGUCACACGGGGAAAAUCAUAUUGCCGCUUGCUUGAAGGGAGUUUUUUCAUGGACUGGUGAGAUAGUGAGAGAGGGGAGUUCGUGGUGACGGUACCAAGUAUUGGAAUGCAGAACAAGUCAUUGCAGCUUCAUACAGUUGCUGCACACGCGCAAUGCAGAGAGGAAAAAGGGAGGAGAGGAAAAACGAGACAACUGAAAUGAACUCCAUACGGCUAGACUAUUGGCAUCAGUGUAGGCUCGUUAAGAAAUUUUAAGAAAUCCUUCAUACCCAUACAUCCUUCAGUAGUGAAUUGAUUUACAUGUUCUACCUGGGAAAUUGAAAUUAUUAUUUAAAUAAUGUAUCGUAGAAAAUGCCAAAUCUGAAGCUUUUUUUGUGAUAUCUUCUGAUAAAUUGACAAGCAAUAUAGAUGCAUCCAGAAUGCGGAUUCGUAUGAGGUUGCUUUAUUUCUGGCUUUAUCACACGUUGAACAACCUCCGCAAAUGGAAAAUUGAUGGACUACCCACGCGACAGAAUUGACAUUACAAAGGCCCACUCAUGUGCCUCUCUCGCUCUCUCGCAAUUUUUACUUCUCAAUGGUUGAGUGAGAGAGCUGAGGAAAAAAGGGGAGAGAUACUAUAGUGACACAAUGUAAAACAAGCAAUGUUCAAUGACAAUGGGAGAAUCCCUAUAAAGUGGGUGUUGACGCGGUUCAAUGAACUUUGGUUGAAAUUUUUUUCAUUCUACUUUUUCCCCAUGGCUCGCUAAUUUUUAAUAGUAUUCUCUUAAUUUGUUUAAAGAGGAUUUUGAAGGAUAAUUAUGUGGAUUGGAUUGGUAUCAGGUAGAGUGUGCGCGUACGUGUGCGUAUGCGUAUGCGUAUGCGUAUGCGUAUGCGUAUGCGUAUGCGUGCAACAGCACCUAAUGUCCGUGUGCAAGUUCCAUUGGCGACGGUCACUUCUAUAUUUAGAUAUGCACCACGAGCCGACGAGCAAGCUUCUUCCUCCUCCAACUUUCUUCGGCAUUUCUCAACAAACAAAGACGUGAUGAUUUUUCUCUCGAGUCUUUGCCGAUCUGGGAAGUGAUGUAUCUCAUGUAGGAGAGAUUCUGUGAAUCGGCAAUAAAUAGCAACAAAUAGCAAACUUUUAUUUUUCCGGAAUUUCACGUAUUUUUUUAAUACCUCCCUAAGCAAUAGGUGAGAAAAGAGUGAGUGUGAUGAAAGGGUCCUUUGCUCCGGUGGAAUUUUUCUUGUAACCUCUACUGUCGAUCCACGGGCUUGGGGUGGAAAAGAGCAAGAUGGAGAAAGGCAGGACGAAGGGCAACUUAAACGAGAGGUAGCAUCGAUGACAUGCAUUGCGAAUGCCAAGAGAUCCUUGCUGCAGUUCAAAUGGAGAGAUAAUAUCUUUUGGCUGUGGUCGAGGUGAUAGUGGCACGCUGAUGCCAAGAGAUUGAAUCUCCAAUUGCAAUCGACAGAUACAAUCUCCUGGUAUUUCACGAUGGAUACAAAAAUGGAGAACAAAUCGCUCUCCAGGCUGAUCUAUUGAUUUUCAUUCAUUUCAAUUGGGAUAGAUUUAUUUGUGGUGAGCGAGUGUCUUUUGAACGAGAUUUUCUUUUCAUUUUUAAAGCACAUGAGUAAUUUAUAUGGUAAUACAAAUGUUAUAAAUCGUUAA